AACUGCAUCGGCGGCUGGGGCCAUUGGCUUUACAAAGAUUAUUUACAAGGGUGUUUUAAAUUAUUAAAAAUACAUUACGGAUAAAUAUACAAUAUAAGUUAUUACUAUUCUAAAUAUUUUUGUGUAGUUCUGUGUCCCUAAGGAAUUUGAAAACAUUUAUAAUACCGGUAUUUAGAUUUUCCGCUAAAUAGUGGUUCAAUUUGUAUUUCAGAUGUUGUGGCUCGUACUUCCUGCAUUCAGUUAGAAUGUUUUUGACUGUCAGAGGAUAGUUGCAAGUUGGGCAUGUAGGUGGAACUUCUUUCUUCAUCAAGAAAAUAUGCGUUAUUCUGGUAAAUGUGAUGUAAAUUAUUAUUGACGAAUGUAUUCUAAUCUUCUGGUAAGUUAACAGUCAUCCGUAUUUAGAGUAAAGGAUCAAUGUAAACUGAAGCAACGAAUUGAAAUUUCAUCAUAUAUACAACUAAAAAUUUUUUUAUAAAAACUCAUACAUGUCUUUGCAUGUAGAUACAUUUUAUUCGGAAAACGCAAACAUUAAAUUUCAAAUUCGAUUCAAGUUGUACAACUUAAAAUUUUUCUCUCGUGAAACUCUUGAUGAAUACUUUUUUAUGCAAUGAUCAUAAAUACAUAGAUGAUUUUCAAUUAUUAAGACAAAUUGGAUGUUGAAAUCAGGAUGGUCUUUCAAAGUUGGAAUGGAAAUGGUAAAUCGUAAGUUAUAUAAAACAAUUAAUAAUAAAAGAAAUAUAGAUACUAUACA